UCCCAGAGCGCACAUGGCACAGGAUUGUGUCCAGGCGGUUCUGGAAUAUCUCCAGUGAAGGCGACUCCACACCUUCUCUGGACAAUCAGUUCCAGUGCCCGGUCACUGCACAGGAAAGAAAUUCUUCCUCAUGUUCAGAUCAACUGACACCUCUGAAGGGAGGGAGAGGGGACAUCUGUAAACAACUGAAGAUUGAUGUGUUAUGUACUGGUUACCAAAGGGAACUGUGAAAGUUAAAUAUUAAAGGAAAUCUUUUUCAACCUGAGAGCAGGAUCCAGCUUCUGCCAUUUAAACCUGGUGACAAGUUUUCUCGUAGCAAUGGGAAGAGAGCAGGCCUGGUAUGACUUUUUCUCCAUGGAAGACACAUGCUGAGCCACUGGCCCCUUGCCACACCACUGAACCCUGGGACUUCUGUAUAUGGGAGUAUGAGGUGGACUCUGCAGUUCUGGAAGGAUUUUGAUGCUCCUUUGAAAUUUGCCACAUCACCCCAGAGAUGAAAUGUGCCCAUUAUGCUGACAGCUUUGCUCUUCAGGAUGAGGC